CAUUGGGACUGAGACACUGCCCAAACUCCUACGGGAGGCUGCAGUAGGGAAUUUUCCGCAAUGCACGAAAGUGUGACGGAGCGACGCCGCGUGUGUGAUGAAGGCUUUCGGGUCGUAAAGCACUGUUGUAAGGGAAGAAUAACUGAAUUCAGAGAAAGUUUUCAGCUUGACGGUACCUUACCAGAAAGGGAUGGCUAAAUACGUGCCAGCAGCCGCGGUAAUACGUAUGUCCCGAGCGUUAUCCGGAUUUAUUGGGCGUAAAGCGAGCGCAGACGGUUUAUUAAGUCUGAUGUGAAAUCCCGAGGCCCAACCUCGGAACUGCAUUGGAAACUGAUUUACUUGAGUGCGAUAGAGGCAAGUGGAACUCCAUGUGUAGCGGUGAAAUGCGUAGAUAUGUGGAAGAACACCAGUGGCGAAAGCGGCUUGCUAGAUCGUAACUGACGUUGAGGCUCGAAAGUAUGGGUAGCAAACGGGAUUAGAUACCCCGGUAGUCCAUACCGUAAACGAUGGGUGCUAGUUGUUAAGAGGUUUCCGCCUCCUAGUGACGUAGCAAACGCAUUAAGCACCCCGCCUGAGGAGUACGGCCGCAAGGCUAAAACUUAAAGGAAUUGACGGGGACCCGCACAAGCGGUGGAGCAUGUGGUUUAAUUCGAAGAUACGCGAAAAACCUUACCAGGUCUUGACAUACCAAUGAUCGCUUUUGUAAUGAAAGCUUUUCUUCGGAACAUUGGAUACAGGUGGUGCAUGGUCGUCGUCAGCUCGUGUCGUGAGAUGUUGGGUUAAGUCCCGCAACGAGCGCAACCCUUGUUAUUAGUUGCCAGCAUUUAGUUGGGCACUCUAAUGAGACUGCCGGUGAUAAACCGGAGGAAGGUGGGGACGACGUCAGAUCAUCAUGCCCCUUAUGACCUGGGCAACACACGUGCUACAAUGGGAAGUACAACGAGUCGCAAACUGGCGACGGCAAGCUAAUCUCUUAAAACUUCUCUCAGUUCGGACUGGAGUCUGCAACUCGACUCCACGAAGGCGGAAUCGCUAGUAAUCGCGAAUCAGCAUGUCGCGGUGAAUACGUUCCCGGGUCUUGUACACACCGCCCGUCAAAUCAUGGGAGUCGGAAGUACCCAAAGUCGCUUGGCUAACUUUUAGAGGCCGGUGCCUAAGGUAAAAUCGAUGACUGGGAUUAAGU
rnacentral:rRNA from 1 species